GAUGAACGCUGGCGGCGUGCUUAACACAUGCAAGUCGAACGGAAAGGCCCAAGCUUGCUUGGGUACUCGAGUGGCGAACGGGUGAGUAACACGUGGGUGAUCUGCCCUGCACUUCGGGAUAAGCCUGGGAAACUGGGUCUAAUACCGGAUAGGACCACUUCUUGGAUGUUGUGGUGGAAAGUUUUUUCGGUGUGGGAUGAGCUCGCGGCCUAUCAGCUUGUUGGUGGGGUAAUGGCCUACCAAGGCGUCGACGGGUAGCCGGCCUGAGAGGGUGUACGGCCACAUUGGGACUGAGAUACGGCCCAGACUCCGACGGGAGGCAGCAGUGGGGAAUAUUGCACAAUGGGCGCAAGCCUGAUGCAGCGACGCCGCGUGGGGGAUGACGGCCUUCGGGUUGGAAACUCCUUUCGCUAGGGACGAAGCGUUUUGUGACGGUACCUGGAGAAGAAGCUCCGGCUAACUACGUG
rnacentral:rRNA from 1 species